rnacentral:rRNA from 1 species
AAAACGACUCUCGGCAACGGAUAUCUCGGCUCUCGCAUCGAUGAAGAACGUAGCGAAAUGCGAUACUUGGUGUGAAUUGCAGAAUCCCAUGAACCAUCGAGUCUUUGAACGCAAGUUGCGCCCCAAGCCGUUAGGCCGAGGGCACGCCUGCCUGGGUGUCACGC